rnacentral:rRNA from 1 species
GACGAACGCUGGCGGCGUGCUUAACACAUGCAAGUCGAACGGAGUGGCGAACGGGUGAGUAACACGUGGGUGACCUGCCCUGCACUUCGGGAUAAGCCUGGGAAACUGGGUCUAAUACCGGAUAGUGUGGGAUGGGCCCGCGGCCUAUUAGCUUGUUGGUGGGGUAAUGGCCUACGAAGGCGGCGACGGGUAGCCGGCCUGAGAGGGUGGACGGCCACAUUGGGACUGGGAAGCGGCCCAGACUGCGACGGGGGACAGCGGUGGGGAAUAUUGCGCGAUGGGCGGAAGCGUGAUGCAGCGACGCCGCGUGGGGGAUGACGGCCUUCGGGUUGUAACCUCCUUUCACCAUCGACGCGGUAGAUGGAGAAGAAGCACCGGCUAACUACGUGCCAGCAGCCGCGGUAAUUC